CUUUGUCUAUCGUUUGGAAAAG
rnacentral:miRNA from 1 species